rnacentral:lncRNA from 1 species
CCUGUUUCAAUUUCAGUGAUCAUAAUUCAAUUAAAAGAGGGACGAAAGAUACCAAAGGGACAGUCAAACUCAUAAAUCUAAAACAAACUGACAACGCCAUGGCCAAAAAUAAAAAAGACAAACAGAAAAACAAUAGUACACACGACACAACAUAGAAAACUAAAGAAUAAACAACACGAACCCCACCAAAAACUAGGGGUGAUCUCAGGUGCUCCGGAAGGGUAAGCAGAUCCUGCUCCACAUGUGGCACCCGUCGUGUUGCUUAAGUGAUUACAAAUCCGGUAAAUAGUCUAAUU